rnacentral:rRNA from 1 species
GAUGAACGCUGGCGGCGUGCCUAAUACAUGCAAGUCGAGCGAACAGACGAGGAGCUUGCUCCUCUGACGUUAGCGGCGGACGGGUGAGUAACACGUGGAUAACCUACCUAUAAGACUGGGAUAACUUCGGGAAACCGGAGCUAAUACCGGAUAAUAUAUUGAACCGCAUGGUUCAAUAGUGAAAGACGGUUUUGCUGUCACUUAUAGAUGGAUCCGCGCCGCAUUAGCUAGUUGGUAAGGUAACGGCUUACCAAGGCAACGAUGCGUAGCCGACCUGAGGGGGUGAUCGGCCACACGGGAACUGAGACACGGUCCAGACUACUACGGGAGGCAGCAGUAGGGAAUCUUCCGCAAUGGGCGAAAGCCUGACGGAGCAACGCCGCGUGAGUGAUGAAGGUCUUCGGAUCGUAAAACUCUGUUAUUAGGGAAGAACAAAUGUGUAAGUAACUAUGCACGUCUUGACGGUACCUAAUCAGAAAGCCACGGCUAACUACGUG